GGCCCGGCCUCGCCGCCGCCCGCGCCUCGGCACCCCGCUGCCGAGCCGCCCCCGGGGCGCCGCGCUUCUCCGAGAGUCUCGGAAGCCCUUGAGGCGCGGCCCCAGCCGGCAGGGCUCGGCGCAACCCCCGCGGGGCUCAGGGCCGCCGAGGGAACCCCUGCCGCCCCCACGCACCGGGGCCGCUCCCGGGGCCGGGACAGCAGGGUCCCGGGGGCACGGCCACGUCCCGCGCUGGCCUCCGUGAGGCCUCAGCGCCGCAGGCCACAGCUUCAGGGGAGCUCUCUGCAGAAAUGCUUGAGUAACGGGGAGCCACGGCCCUGGCGCCUGCGGGAGCCUUUGGGCAGGCGCAUGGGAGAGGAGAGGCAGAGACCCCGGGCGAUCUGGAAAGCAAGUAGUGCAGGGGCACGAAGUCUUCCUUCUGUGGGAGUCCCCCCGCAACCGUGCAGAGACCAGGAAGAGGAGGCAUCUGAGUCACUUAGGGGCAUGAAAGCACCAUGGACAAGAGAGCAGGAAACCCAGGAAGAGCUGUAGCCUCAAAAUCUCCAGUAAAUCUCAGACCCGCCAACCUUGUGCUCUGCGACUGCAGAUAUCAGUGAACUGAAACAUCCGAAUGACUUUCUCCUAAACAAGAUGAUUACACAGCAAAGUUGGCUUGCCCCAAGAAAUGCAUGUCCACAAUUCAGAGCAGGAGCACAGCCAGUGCAAGCAAGGUUGACACCAUGCUGACAGGAUGACUUCCAGAAGCAAUGCAAUCCUGGCCAAACUUCUCCCUUGCUGCCAGCACCAAGAAGUGCUCAUACCAAGUUCUCUUGGGCCCUACACUAGCCCAGCCAUGCCGAGUUCAGUCCCCAAACCACUGUGCCUCUGCGCUUCCACACUUAUCCCACCUUGACGCCGUCCCUGCUGGACGACUCACAACAGAAAUGCCGUCCUGGACGCUCUACUGCCUUGCCAUGCCCACCAGCAAGUGCUCCCAGCCAAGGACUCUUUGGCCCUACACUGGCCUGCGCAUGUGUGGCCACCCUCGCAAUUACUGACCCUCUGCCCUUCCCCUCAAGCCACUCCACUCCUUGGCGAGGAAGCUGACGGAGUGCUGGGAGCUCUGGCAUUCCUGUGUGGUGCCUCGGCCCCAGCGGUGCCAGAGUCUGGCUGGGGGUCUGCCCAGCCGUAAUGCUGAGGGAGCAGGCUGCGGCCCAUGCCAAGGAGUGGCUGCCGUCCCCCAGGGCCUGCCUGGAGGAGAGGUGCCAGUGCUUUGGACUGGGAUGUGGUGAGCCAAAGACUUAGAGCCCGCAGAAGAGCUUGGCAGGAUUCGGGCGGCUGAGUCACACACACACUGUCCCCCCAAAACCUUUCCCUCGCCUCCUCUCUGGCGUGGCAGUCCCCAAGUCACCUGCUAGGGCAUGGCCGGGGUGAGAGCUGCCCGGUAGAGGGGCUGCCCC